CGCCUGUUUAACAAAAACAUGUCCUCUUGUGUUUUAUAUGAGGUCGUGCCUGCCCGGUGAAUUAUAUUUUAACGGCCGCGGUAUUCUGACCGUGCAAAGGUAGCAUAAUCAUUAGUCUUUUAAUAGGAGGCUGGAAUGAAAGGUUUGACGAAGUACUAUCUGUCUCAAUUUAAUAUUGCUGAAUUUAGCUUUUGAGUUAAAAGGCUCAAAUUUUCUUGAAGGACGAGAAGACCCUAUAGAGCUUUAAGGCUUAUUUAAAUAGCUUUUAACUAUUUUAUAAAAUAUGUUAUUUUUUUUGCUUUUUUGUUGGGGUGACAAAAGAUAUAUGUUUAACUUUUAUUAUUUAUUAUACAUUUAUUUAUGGUUUUUAGAUCCUUUAUUAUAGAUUGUUAGAAUAAGUUACCUUAGGGAUAACAGCG
rnacentral:rRNA from 1 species